UACGGAGGGGGGCAAGCGUUGUUCGGAAUUACUGGGCGUAAAGGGCGCGCAGGCGGCUGCUCAAGUCAGGCGUGAAAGGCCUGGGCUCAACCCGGGAAUUGCGCUUGAGACUGGGCUGGCUUGAGUGCGGGAGAGGAUGGUGGAAUUCCCAGUGUAGAGGUGAAAUUCGUAGAUAUUGGGAAGAACACCGGUGGCGAAGGCGGCCAUCUGGACCGCAACGUGACGCUGAGGCGCGGAAAGCGUGGGGAGCAA
rnacentral:rRNA from 1 species